rnacentral:rRNA from 1 species
UACGUAGGGGGCAAGCGUUGUCCGGAUUUACUGGGCGUAAAGAGCGUGUAGGCGGCCACGCAGGUCCGUUGUGAAAACUGGAGGCUCAACCUCCAGCUGUCGACGGAAACCGUGUGGCUAGAGUCCGGAAGAGGAGAGUGGAAUUCCUGGUGUAGCGGUGAAAUGCGCAGAUAUCAGGAGGAACACCAAUGGCGAAGGCAGCUCGCUGGAACGGUACUGACGCUGAGGCGCGAAAGCGUGGGGAGCGAACAGG